rnacentral:rRNA from 1 species
CAGUCGCCACGGUAAUACAGAGGGUGCGAGCGUUAAUCGGAUUUACUGGGCGUAAAGCGUGCGUAGGCGGCUUCUUAAGUCGGAUGUGAAAUCCCUGAGCUUAACUUAGGAAUUGCAUUCGAUACUGGGAAGCUAGAGUAUGGGAGAUGAUGGUAGAAUUCCAGGUGUAGCGGUGAAAUGCGUAGAGAUCUGGAGGAAUACCGAUGGCGAAGGCAGCCAUCUUGCCUAAUACUGACGCUGAGGUACGAAAGCAUGGGGAGCAAACAGGAUUAGAUACCCCGGUAGUCCCUGUCUCUUAUAA